GUUAAGAUAGUUUAUUCAGAAUGUUAAUUUGUGGAGUUAAUGGUAAAAGACUUGUUUUUCUUAAUA
rnacentral:tRNA from 1 species